rnacentral:rRNA from 1 species
UACACGACCGUACCGCAAACCGACACUGGUGCGCGAGAUGAGUAUUCUAAGGCGCUUGAGAGAACUCAGGAGAAGGAACUCGGCAAAUUGACACCGUAACUUCGGAAGAAGGUGUGCCUUUAGUAGGUGAAGUCCCUCGCGGAUGGAGCCCAAUGAGGUUGCAAAAAAUCGGUGGCUGCGACUGUUUAUUAAAAACACAGCACUCUGCAAACACGAAAGUGGACGUAUAGGGUGUGACGCCUGCCCGGUGCUGGAAGAUUAAAUGAUGGGGUGCAAGCUCUUGAUUGAAGUCCCAGUAAACGGCGGCCGUAACAAUAACGGUCCUAAGGUAGCGAAAUUCCUUGUCGGGUAAGUUCCGACCUGCACGAAUGGCGUAACGAUGGCCACACUGUCUCCUCCUGAGACUCAGCGAAGUUGAAAUGUUUGUGAUGAUGCAAUCUCCCCGCGGAAAGACGGAAAGACCCCAUGAACCUUUACUGUAGCUUUGUAUUGGACUUUGAACAGAUCUGUGUAGGAUAGGUGGGAGGCUUUGAAGCAGGGUCGCUAGAUCUUGUGGAGCCAACGUUGAAAUACCACCCUGGUGUGUUUGAGGUUCUAACCUAGGUCCAUUAUCUGGAUCGGGGACAGUGCAUGGUAGGCAGUUUGACUGGGGCGGUCUCCUCCCAAAGCGUAACGGAGGAGUUCGAAGGUACGCUAGUUACGGUCGGACAUCGUGACGAUAGUGCAAUGGCAUAAGCGUGCUUAACUGCGAGACUGACAAGUCGAGCAGAUGCGAAAGCAGGACAUAGUGAUCCGGUGGUUCUGUAUGGAAGGGCCAUCGCUCAACGGAUAAAAGGUACUCUGGGGAUAACAGGCUGAUACCGCCCAAGAGUUCAUAUCGACGGCGGUGUUUGGCACCUCGAUGUCGGCUCAUCUCAUCCUGGGGCUGUAGCCGGUCCCAAGGGUAUGGCUGUUCGCCAUUUAAAGAGGUACGUGAGCUGGGUUUAAAACGUCGUGAGACAGUUUGGUCCCUAUCUUCCGUGGGCGCUGCAGAUUUGAGGAAGCCUGCUCCUAGUACGAGAGGACCGGAGUGGACACACCUCUGGUGUAUCGGUUGUCACGCCAGUGGCAUUGCCGAGUAGCUAAGUGUGGAAGAGAUAACCGCUGAAAGCAUCUAAGCGGGAAACUCGUUUCAAGAUGAGAUCUGCCGGGGCCUUGAGCCCCCUGAAGAGUCGUUCAAGACCAGGACGUUGAUAGGCAGGGUGUGGAAGCGCAGUAAUGCGUUAAGCUAACCUGUACUAAUUGCUCGUGCGACUUGACCCU